rnacentral:lncRNA from 1 species
GGUGCAGUUCGUUGGCCGUGGCCAGACACGAGAAUCCCACGGACGUGGAAAUCUCAGUAGGGAAAGCAAGAGGAACUCGGGCCCCAACAGAGAGAUGGCCCAGUGGGAGCCAUGUGGCCAAGAGAUGGAGCAAGUGAGAUCAACUGGCACAGGGGGUAGCUCCAGUGAGUUGUUGGUGGCGACGGGAGCUCGGGAGCAUGACCUGGCCCUGCUGAAAGAUGGCAGG